rnacentral:tRNA from 1 species
GUGGACGUAGCUCAAUGGUUAGAGCUCUGGCCUGUGGAACCAGAGGUUGCGGGUUCAAGUCCCGUCGUCCACCCA